rnacentral:lncRNA from 1 species
UUUUUUUUUUUUUUUAAAGGGCUGCGCUUCAUAUGGAAGUUUCCAGGCUAGGGGUCGCAUUGGAGCUACGGCUGCCGGCCUACACCGCAGCCACAGCCAUGUGGGAUCCAAGCAGCAUCUGUGACCUACACCACAGCUCACGGCAACGCCAGAUCCGUAACCCACUGAACGCAGCCAGGAAUCGAACCUGCGUCCUGGUGGACCCUCGUUGGGGUGUGUUUCUGCUGCGCCACAACCGCAACUCCGUGGUGAACUUUAUCAUCGUUUUCCUGAGACAUACUUUCUUUGAGUUGCCUUCAUUGUGCGCUACGAGUUGUUCAGAUGCCAGAGUCAGAUACCACACAGCACGUAUCCGAGUCUCGUGAGGAAUGCGGAAGCUGUAAUGCACGUGAUCCCCGUCUCCCAGGAACAUGGGCUCUGGUUUGGGAAUGUGGGCCUGGGAUGCCUCCCGAACAUUCUGUCUCCGCGUGCGACACUGACGGGGCUUCCAGACCCGUGACCAGGACACCGUGUGAGCAGAUGUCCCCUCUGUGCUGGGGGCCAGCUCUGCGGGAAGUUACUUUACUCCAAAGGCCACAGCGGGCCUCCGUCCCCGUCAGGUCUUCUGGGACGGGCCUCAUCCUUUCCUUCUCGUCAAUGUGACCAUUUCUUACUUGUUUUUAUUGGAUACACUGUCAGAUUUAGUUCUCGGGAUUAACUGAGUACAAGAGAAGUAAUUUUCUAAGCAAACAAACUCCAGUGCCGAUGGCACGAAGAGAAAAUCUGCCUUACACUGGGGGUUUUAAUCCAGCACCAAAGCGGCAAUUGCAGAGGGUCAAUGUUGAGGCCACUAGUAAACUUUUCCGAUUUCUCUUGACUGCAGUGAUGGGAACCGCAGUGAGUUAUUUGCCUUAUACACUGUUUGCAAAGCUGGAAAAGAAAUAGGUAGUUUCUGGUCUCUUUGCCAGUAGCAUAAAUAAAUCAAUCUUGAAACAUUCUUGGACUUCUGCAUGAAGGUUGUGUCACUUGAUUUAAUGCUCAGAAGUUGGUUAUUUGGGCAAGGAGAAGCAAAUUCUCUCAGAAAUCGAGGUAAUAAAAAUUCGAGUGUCUAGAAAAGCCAACCGAAUCUGCAUUAAGUAUUUACCGUAGAGGCUUGGAGUCCACUCGGAGCCACAGCUGCCGGCCUACACCACAGACACAACAAUUCGGGAUCCGAGCCGCGUCUGUGACCGUCACCACAGCUCACGGCCACGCCGGAUCCUUAACACACUGAGUGAGGCCAGGGAUUGAACCCACGUCCUCAUGGAUGCUAUCGGGUUCAUUGACCGCUGGGCCCCGACGGGAAUGCCGAAGCUCUUAAAUCGGUUGUUCAGAUGCCACUCUGCACAGUUGGAGCUGUGUAUGCUUGGGCCAGUCGCCUGGCUGUUUGGCCAACUUUAUCACAGUUACUGUGCAGAUUAAAGAAAUUAAGAUAUGCAAGGCCUUAUAACAGCCCUCUGUCGUUAUCAUAAAAUUAAUUGGUGGAAAGCAUGAGUAAUAAUAAAGAUAAUGUAUUUAUUUGUAUGAUUCAAACAUUCAAGGACCCAAUGAAACAGAAAGAUAAACAAAGCCAGUGGUAUAGUCUAAAGAACGUGCUUGGAGUUCCCGUGGUGGUUCAGUGGUUAACGAAUCCGACGAGGAACCAUGAGGUUGCGGGUUCGAUCCCUGGCCUCGCUCAGUGGGUUAAGGAUCUGGCAUUGCCGUGAGUUGUGGUGUAGGUCACAGACGUAGCUCGGAUCUGGUGUGGCUGUGGCUCUGGCGUAGGCCGGCGGCUACAGCUCCGAUUAGACCCCUAGCCUGGGAACCUCCAUAUGCCGCAGGAGCGGCCCUAGAAAAGCCAAAAAAAAAAAAAAAAAAAAAAAAAAA